CCGCAGGCCAUCUCCAGCCUGGAAGUCCCCUGGACUCUCCUCUGAUCCACCCAGUCCUCCAACUGGGGGGUGCGUAUUCAGAAAGGACCCUCAUUGCCCCUUUAGCACAUUUCCGUUGCCCUCCAAGUCCUCACGCGUUGCUGUCUGCUGGUUGGGUAGACUGUGGUCGGCCACUAAUUGGUAGGGAAACGUAAUUCUGCAUUGCCGGUUAUCGAGGCCUUACUACGUGGCCAAGUUCAACACUGCUGGCUUUCUAUGUGCCAUCUCCGUUAAUUCACACAUCCACGGUGUGGCAUGAUCCAUUUUCCAGAUGAAGAAACUAAGACUCAGAGCUUCAGGUCACCCAGCCGGGAAGCAAGUGAGCUGGGAUUCCAGCUGCCUCUGCUGGGCUUCUUUUUUCCCAUUGCCUUCAGGGAAGGGUGACUGUCGUGGGUUAAAUGUUUCCCCCCAAAAAGACUUGCUCACAUCUGAACCCCCGGUACCCACGAAUGUAACCCUAUUUGGAAAAAGGGCCUUUGCAGAUGUCAUGAAGUUAAGAUGAGGUCAUCCUGGAUUGACAGUGGGCCCUAAGUUCAGUGCCAAGUAUCCUUAUGACAGUCAGAGAAGAUGACGCAGACACGGGACAGAGCAGGCCGUGGGGAGACAGAGGCAGAGGCUGGAGUGACACAGCUACCAGCCAAAGAGCACCAAGGUUGGCUGGAGCCCCCAGCAGCGGGACAGAGGCGCAGAACAUAUGACCACAGGAGCACCUGGAAAGGACCAAACCCAGCAACAGUUGAAUUUGGACUUUUAGCCUCCAGAACCAUGAGAAAGUAAGACUCUGCUGGACUGUGGCACGCACCCGGAACACCCAUCCAGCCGCCCUGAAGGAUGCAGGCCUCUCCGCCUUUGGUUCUCCUGUGCCUCUUCAGCUCUCAGAAAUCUGCACCAUGACUCCGAUUUGACUGAUGGAGACCCAGAUACCCAGAGAGAUUAAGCAGCUCCGGCCAGGCCAUGGCUUACAUUCCAGCUCCCUCUCACUGGGUGACAACUGGCUCCCUCUGUCCCCCACGUGCCUUCUUCAGCUUGCUGCCUUUGCUGGGGAAGUGCCCACUCAGGACAGCUGAGGAGACGGAGCCACGGAGGUUGACAUAGGAGGUGAUGGAACAGCCAGUUUUCCUGCUGAGCCCAUCCGUAUAGACAGCCGGCAUGCAUUGAUGUGUCUCUCUCCCAGCUUCAACCCCUGUCUGCAGAGCUGGAGUCUCCGACUGUUCCCGCAUGUCCCUUCUCUGUUGUUACCUGCAGUCCAGACAAAAAUGGCAUAGUAAAAUAAAAGUUGAGAGAAUGCACAAACUGAUCUUUAUUUUCUCCAACAUCAAAGCGUGAUUGAUUUAUUUAUAUUUAUUUAUUUAUUUAUUUUAUUUUUGAGACAGAAUUUCACUCUGUUGACCAGGCUGGACUGCAAUGGCUCACUGCAACCUCUGCCUCCCUGGUUCAAGCAAUUCUCCUGCCUCAGCCUCCUACAUAGCUGGGAUUACAGACGCCCACCACCACACCUGGCUAAUUUUUUGUAUUUAGUAGAGUCAGAGUUUCACCAUGUUAGUCAGGCUGGUCUCGAACUGCUGACCUCAGGUGAUCCACCCACCUUGGCCUCCCAAAGUGCUGAGAUUACAGGUGUGCACCACCGCACCCAGCCGCAUGAUUUUUUUUCUUUCUGUUCUAGACAAUUUGAAAACACGAAUGAGAAGAAGAAACAGAAUCCCCCUAAUCCUAACUGCAUCAAACACAGCAAGCACUUCAACAUUCAUCUCUGUGGACCCUUUCUUGCUAGGAAAGCUGGAGAUUUUCCCUACAUAAUUAUGCUUAAAAAAAAAAACCUUUCAAGUUUAGAAUAGUUUUAUAUUUGCAGAGAAAUUGUGACAAUAGUACAGAGAAAUACACCCCACACCCAGUUCCCCCUAUUAUUAACAUCUUAUAUUAGUAUGGUGGAACAUUUGUUACAAUUAAUGCAGAAUGAGACAUUUUUAUUAACUGAAGUCCAUACUUGAUGUUCUUUUUCUGUCCCAGAAUCCCACAUUGCAUUUAGUCAUUGUGUGUCCCCAGGCUCCUCUUGGCUGUGACACUUUCUGACUCUCCUUGUCUUUGAUGAUCCUGAGAGUUUUAACGAGGACUGGUCAGGCGUUUUGUAGAACGUCCCUCAAUUUGAUCGCCUGAUUUUUUUUUUCUUUUUUUUUUUUUUUUGAGAUGGAGUCUUGCUCUGUCAUCAAGGCUGGAGUGCUGUGGCUCGAUCUCGGCUCCCUGCAACCUCGCCUCCCAGGUUCAAGCAAUUCUGCUGCCUCAACCUCCCAUAUAGCUGGGACUACAGGCACGUGUCACCACGCCUGGCUAAUUUUUGUAUUUUUAGCAGAGACAUGGUUUCACUGUGUUGGCCAGGCUGAUCUCAAACUCCUGACCUCAAGUGAUCUGCCCGUCUCAGCCUCCCAAAGUGCUGGGAUUACAGGCAUGAGCCACCACUCCCACCCUGGUGUUUUUCAUGAUUAAACUAAUCCGGUUUUUGGGAGUGACACUUUUUAAACCCCUUGUUUAAGUUUCUAUUAUGAAGGAUAGGAGAGAAGAGCUGAUAACUUUUGGGGAUAGCUAAGAAGAAAGCAUGUUGCUACAUUUUUGCCUCCACUCAAUUAGUGAGUGUAGUUUGAGGCCACCUGACUACAGGGCUGCCUUCUCUCCCCUUUCCCAUCUCUAGGCUCCAGUCUCCACUGCCUGAAGGAAAGAAGCUUUUGAAACUUGAAUCCCAUCUCAUCACUUCCUGGCUGAAAGCGCCGGCGCUGCUGUGGCUGUGGUCCUUGGGCAGGAUUCCAAAUCCUUCUUCUGAGCUUUCAAAGCCCUCAUCUGGCUCCAGAAGUUCCUUACCCCUGGUCUUAGUUAGAGACAAAAAU
rnacentral:lncRNA from 1 species